CAGCAGCCGCGGUAAUACGAAGGGUGCAAGCGUUAAUCGGAAUUACUGGGCGUAAAGCGUGCGUAGGCGGUUUGUUAAGUCCGUUGUGAAAUCCCCGGGCUCAACCUGGGAAUGGCAAUGGAUACUGGCAAGCUAGAGUGUGUCAGAGGAUGGUGGAAUUCCCGGUGUAGCGGUGAAAUGCGUAGAGAUCGGGAGGAACAUCAGUGGCGAAGGCGGCCAUCUGGGACAACACUGACGCUGAGGCACGAAAGCGUGGGGAGCAAACAGGAUUAGAUACCCGAGUAGUCCCUGUCUCUUAUAC
rnacentral:rRNA from 1 species